CAAAAGGCCCUUUUCAGGGCCACCAAUUUCUCAUCGAUCGUUGGAA
rfam:Dufourea novaeangliae contig2680, whole genome shotgun sequence.